rnacentral:tRNA from 3 species
AAGGCUUUAUCUUAAUUAAAGUGUCUGCUUUGCACGCAGAAGAUGUGGGGUAAUGUCCCGCAAGUCUUA